UCCACCACUACAUAAGUAAGUCUUAAAUUGCAUUCAAUAAGUAGACUUGUGUUUACGACUAGACAACAUUCUGAAAUAUGUUCUUGAAGGUGAUUUUCGUUCUACUGUUGGUGUUUGUUGCCGUGAAAUCUCAAAUGCCUCCAUGGUUCUGGCCAGGCUUUAACAUCUCUGACACUUCCUCGGCACAAAUGUGGCAAGCCCAAAUGUGGCCGUACUGGACCAUGCGGAUGUUUGGAGGGGACGAUGAUGGAUGGGGAGACUAAGUCAGAUGAUCAUCGUGAAACGAUGACCUAUCUGUCAAAAAGGGGACAUAAAAGAAAUACUCCACCAUUCAACCGUUUGUGUUGUUUUUUUCUUUAAUAUUUUUGUUGAGCGUGGUAUGUAAUACUAAAAUAAGAAGUAAAAACGUCCUCCUCUUU